rnacentral:lncRNA from 1 species
AAAUCUCAACCAAAAAUUACGAGUGGGUAUACCAUUUUACUCGAAAUUUAACGCUGAUCAUGAAUCCAUGCUUAGAUUUCACAGUGGAGGUAUAGAUUUUAAAAAACGAUUUAAUCUUUAAAACCUAAAAAAAUUGAAAACACUUAUUUGAGCGAAAUAAGCAAAAUAAACGGUUGGAAAAGCUUGAGGACAUGAUUUGGAACAUGAAUCAAUU